AUUUUUUGCUUCUAAAGGAAAACUAUACUGCUGCCCAAACAGUAUGCAAGUCGAUCACAUCAAAGAAAGACUUUGGGUCAGAAUGUAACGUCAGUACUGAUUGCAUCACUGGCAUUUGCACCAACAAAACAUGUACCUGUCAGCAAAAUUUCUUUUACGAUAAUUGCAGUCAAACUUGUAUCAAAAAUUGUAACAAUACUUUGCAAUAUACAGCAUCUUCAAACAUGGUUACUGGCCUUAUAGUCAGUGCCGAUGCUGUUAAUCCUCCUGGAACAAAAUGCUUUUGGGAAAUCUCUGGUUGGAGUGGAUCAUAUUUAACCCUCAUCAUUGACUACAUAGAUAUGGACCCUGCUAAAAGUGACAUCAAUUGGGUGAAUGUACUGUCCUCAAGAGCACAGUUACUUAUUCAGUAUGACUCGCUGAAUAGUAAUUUCAUCAGAACAAUGUCGACAGAAUCUAGUUGGUUGAGAGUCUACUAUAGCACGACAUUCUCAGGAUACAAAGGAUUUAGAGCUUCGUAUUAUAUAUAUGGUAAAGGUGUUAAAUAUCCAUCCAUUUAUCCAUUCUCCUAUCUAUCUAUCUAUCUAUCUAUCUAUCUAUCUAUCU
rnacentral:sRNA from 1 species